CUGCAUCCGAGCUCUGUGAGUGUGGUGUGAGCGCCUUGCCCCGUUUUCAUGUUUUGGCAGUUUAGGAGGCGAUUUUAUAGUUGAGGACACCCACUGAUGCUUUCCACCAUAAUCUAGAGAACGCACCAAUAAGACUCACCUGUAGGGAGCAUCACAAAUUCACAUUUUCCGUCGGUAGGGAAACCAUUCAGAAGCGCAGGCUCGGAAAUACAAGCAACAUGGAUUACCACGAAGUUGCCAGUUGCGACAUGAGUGACUCGUACACCGAUGACCAGCAUCGAGCACCGGAGAUGAGCUUAUCUCAACCCGCGAUCCUCCGCCCUAAUACCGGUACUUGGAGAAAUCUGGCGUAUCGAGUGAUCCGAUAUGAGAAGGAGAAGGAGGCGCUAGGUGAACAGCCCAACCUCUCCUUCUCUCAGCCUCUCAUCUUCCAGGCGUCCAACUGGAGAGGUCGGCUGGUGUAGCA
rnacentral:lncRNA from 1 species